rnacentral:misc_RNA from 1 species
GAACGCACAUUGCGCCCGCUAGUAUUCUGGCGGGCAUGCCUGUUCGAGCGUCAUUUCAACCAUCAAGCCCCCGGCUUGCGUUGGAGCCCUGCGGCUGCCGCAGGCCCCGAAAACCAGUGGCGGGCUCGCUGUCACCCCGAGCGUAGUAGUUUACACCUCGCCCAGGGCGCGACGCGGGUUUCCCGGCCGUUAAACACCCCCCAUCUAAAGGUUGACCUCGGAUCAGGUAGGAAGACCCGCGGAACUUA